UGUUUUGCUGCAUACCGGAGGAACUGUGCUAAGCCCUUUUUUUCUUGUAAUGUUAGCCAAACGUUUCUUUUCCCGCACGUAGCGGCCAGGUCAAGAAACCCUGCCUGCCAGGAGACUCCUAAAGUGGAAAAUUGCAGCAUUGUGCUCCGAAAAUGGAGCUUCAAUAUUGAGACUAACGAAUGCGAAAUAAAUUUUGUUUGCCGAGAAAACAAAAAUUUGUUUCACUCACAAGAGGAAUGCACCAGAGCUUGCCCACCAAUUUCAGGAGUGGCACCUCGUCCGAAAGAAAAGGAUUGCUACUAUUGGCUCUAUAAAGGAAACGGAUGUUACUCAUACUGGUUUACUUAUUAUUAUGACCGCUGGGGAAGAAGUUAUCCAGUAAUGAUAUAUACUGGAUGUGGAAGGUGGCGACAUAGGCGCUAUGUUUAUUAUCUGCAUGCAAGAAAAUGCGCAGAAAUAAGAUGAAAGCCAUGUGGAUCCUGGGAAUAAAGCAGGACAAUGCUUGU